AAACAUAUCAUUUGACAAACGACGACGUGGCAGAAGUUGUUAAAUCCGACGGUGACAGUUUUCAACCUAUCACACCUAAAAAGACCAUUGCAAGGCUUUGCAUUUCUAUAUUAUCCAAAACACUCUUCGAAAAGGUGAAAUGUCAUCAAUCUUUCAGAAGAUCUUGAUGGUUGUUUUCAUUGUUUCGAUGAUUACGUCUUCUAUAUCAGUAGUGCAAGGCGGUCUUCAUCCUGAAGGCGACAACCCGAAGUCCAGCAAAACUUUAGAAGAAAUUGCAGACAAUCUCAAUCCCGAAGAAAUGUUCAGCGUAUGAUACCAUUGUGUUAACCAUUCUAUAUCGCAAGACUUUUUAUUGCGACUUAUACACAAGAAUAUGAAUAAAUAAUGAACAUUGAAA